GCUGGCCCGGGGCCCGCGCGCCGCGGUGGGAAGCCCGGCUUCGCCUCUGCCCCGCAGCGCCCGGGGCGGGCGAGGAGGAGGAAGCCCCGGUCCCCGGCCUGCGGGGUUAGGGAGGCGCCUCUCACCUAGGGCCCUGGCACGGGCCUCUGCGGGGCGCUCCCCAGAGCAGACUUCCCGCCCAGAGCAGCAGCCCUCGCCGGUUUACCGGGGCCCUUAAUUCCUACAGUCCCCAUCAUGGCCUUCUACGCUGAAUGCGGGGCCAUUUUAUGGAAGAGGGCAACUGAGGCACACCAACGGGGGCCGGGGGACCCGAGCUCUUGGGCUUCCUGUCAGUAAAGCUGCUCCUGGAAAUGACCUGUGCAGCCUCUCUGGAGAAUGUGCCCAGCCUGCCCUCGGUUUCCCUACGUGGAGUGGCCAGGACAGUGCAGAGAGCACCCUCCACAGCACCAGUGCUGGGCCCAGCGCCCCACGUCCCACAGCCAGACCUUUUACCUGCACCCACGAGCUUUAGGCUUGGCAUCUCUGGUCACUGCAGAAACCACCCAGAGCUGGACCUGACUGUUCCCGCAAGAGGCCAGAAACACGGGGAAUGGCUGCUGGGCUCCUCAUCACCAGGGCGGGGGGUAGGUACGCUUCUGUCCUCUCAGGGCCCCACCUCGGAAGCCUGUUGUGCCUCAGCCUGUGCCCUGUCAUUCCCCUGCCAGGAGGGCACUCCAGCCAGCUCCACCUCUCUCCCCAGCUGCCUCCUCACCUGUAAUGGCAAACCUGAGGCCACGGAGUUCAUGGCCAGCACAGACCUUCCGGCUCCUAGUUGUGGUGCAAGAAGGUUAGGUGAAGGUGCUCGUCCUCUGGAGAUUCUGAUUCCAAGUUGGCACCUUGAAUGUGGCCAGCUCUGUGGGGAAAAGAGCUCCAGGGCAGGAGCAGAAACACAGAGACCUUUCCUGAUGGCCCUAAUCCUACCCACAAACCUGCUGGGAGGAACUAGCCUCUCUGGGGAGUAUUGGAAAACACAUGGAACAGGAAUUGCCCCAUGAACCCCACCUUUUCUGAAGACCAUGCAGUUACCCUAAUGUUUAAGUGCCCGAAAUUGAAGAGUGGGGUCCUGCUGGAAAGGGAUUUUCCCAGACCCUCCAGAUUGGGUCAGUGCAGAGAACUUAGUUGCAACGGGGCAUUGUAACCUAAGAUGUGAGGUUAACUAGUGGGAUUGUUCUGAUACCAACUCUGAGACUUUUCUCCAAAUUGUUGGAAGACAGGUGAGAGGCUGUUCCUACACCAAUGAGGAACAGGCCAUAGGAAACUCUGACCCCAACCUCCAGACCCCAUCUAGCCCAGCUGUUGUUCCCAUUCACCACAUGCCCCCACCAGCAGUUAGUGCCAGGUUUGACUCAGCUGAGGACACUCACGAUAUUUCAGGAGCAAGUGACCUUUGAGGACAUGGUUGUGGAUUUCACCCACGAGGAGUGGGGGCAACUAGAGCCUGCCCAGAGGACCCUGUACCAUGAUGUGAUGCUGGAGACCUUCACACUGCUGGUCUCUGUAGGUAAGGCCACACCCAUGUCCUCAGUGGUCUUCAGACACAACAGUCACUUCUCCUGUGUUAAAAAUGGGGCUAGGAGGGCUGGGGGUGUGGCUCAGUGGUAGAGCGUUUGCCUAGCAUGUGAGAGGCACUGGGUUCAAUUCUCAGCACCACAUAUAAAUAAAUAAAGAUCUGUCAAUAACUAAUAAAGUGUUUUGGGAAAAAAAAAUGGGCCUAGGACUUGGCUUUGUUUUCUUUUCCCUUUGAAAAGAUUGAACCCCGGUGUGCUCUACCACUGAUCUACAUCCCCAGCCCUUUUAUGUUUCCUUUUGACACAGGGUCUCACUAACUUGCUGAGACUGGCCUCAAACCUGUAUCCUCCUGCCUUAGCCUCUUGAGUGGCUGACAUGACAGGUGUGCACCACCUCUCCUGGCUAGGGCUCAGCUUUAAAAGCAAUCCUUGGGCUAUAUCUUGAGUUUCAGGAACUUGACUUUUUUAGUGUAGAG
rnacentral:lncRNA from 1 species